AGAGUACACAGAACAACUGUACUAAAAAGAUCUCCACGACCCAGAUAAUCACGAUGGUGCAAUCACUCACCUAGAGCCAGACAUCCUGGAAUGCAAAAUCAAGUGGGCCUUAGGAAGCAUCACUAUGAACAAAGCUAGUGGAGGUGAUGGAAUUCCAGUUGAGCUAUUUCAAAUCCU